ACCGUUCAGGGGUAAACCUGAGAAACCCAAAAGAUCGAAUGGGGAGAUUCAUCGUCGACGAAGCUGGACUCCCGUUGGUGUGCGAUUCCCCCGAUUGGGACUCUGUUCCAAAACGCGGGUACACCCCUUCGGCGAAUAACCGGCGACGUAGUCGUGCACUUCUCCCUUAGUAGUACGUCGCGACCCGUUGUGUGUCGGUCUACGGCCUGGGCUCUUUGCCUGUCGCGGUCAUCGUUUUUGGCCGCGGCAGAGGCUCGGUCGCCCGGCCGGCUGCACGACGGUACUCUGACGGUAUCGGGCCGCAACCAAUCCAUUCUCGAAUGUAUUUGCGUCAGGCCCGCCGCAAGCUCAGACAGCACCCGGCGNGUGUGGACCUAGUACCCUCCACGGGUCUGACCAACUGUUUGCAGGCGGUGUCCUCGGACUGGCCAAGCUUUGAAUUACCGGUCAGCGACGCUAUUGCUUUGGGUACUCUCAGGACCCGUCUUGAAACACGGACCAAGGAGUCUAACAUGUGCGCGAGUCAUUGGGACAUUUAAACCUAAAGGCGAAAUGAAAGUGAAAGUCGUCGUAAGCGUCGACCAAGGGAGGAUGGGCCGCUUACGUCGCGGCCUCGCACUCCCGGGGCGUCUCGUUCUCGUUGAGAAGAGGCGCACCCAGAGCGUACACGUU
rnacentral:rRNA from 1 species